rnacentral:rRNA from 1 species
ACUGGUAAAAUGUGAUGUACCUAGUAAUAUUAGUAAUUAAUAUGAGAUUAACUAAGUUAAUUAAAAUUCUAAGUAGGUAUGUGAUUAUGACAAUAUCUGCUGAGGUCUUGACCAAGUCACGUGCCAGCAGUCGCGGUAAUACGUGGAAGACAAGUGUUAUUCAUCUUUAUUGGGUUUAAAGGGUACCUAGACGGUUAAUUAAGCAAUGAGAUGUACUAAUUAACUAGAGUUUAAUGUAAGAAGGAUUGAGUACGGUGAGUGUAGAGAUAAAAUUCUUUGAUACCACUUAGGAACUGGUAACGGCGAAGGCGACCUUCAAUGUAAAAACUGACGUUAAGGGACGAAGGCUUGUAUGAAAUAAUAGGAUUAGAUACCCUAGUAUUGUGAGCAGAAAAUGAUGAGUGUCAUACACAAGAUAUUUUUUGUGUAUAAAUGAAAGUGUAAGCACUCCACCUCAAGAGUAACGUGGCAACAUGGGAACUGAAAUCAUUAGACCGUUUCUGAAACUCGUAGUGAAGUAUGUUGUUUAAUUCGAGGGUACACAAAUAACCUUACCACAAUUUGAAUAACUAAUAAUUUACAGUGCUAAUCACUGUGAUAUAGUAACAAGCGUUGCACGGCUGUCUUCAGUCAAUGUUGUGAAACUUUGGUUAGAUCCAUUAAAUUGACGUAAACCCUUACUUUAUUUAUUAUAAAGUAGUUCGCCGCU